UACGUAGGGGGCAAGCGUUGUCCGGAAUCAUUGGGCGUAAAGCGCGCGUAGGCGGCCCGGUAAGUCCGCUGUAAAAGUCCAGGGCUCAACCCUGGAAAGCCGGUGGAUACUGUCGGGCUAGAGUCCGGAAGAGGCGAGUGGAAUUCCUGGUGUAGCGGUGGAAUGCGCAGAUAUCAGGAAGAACACCAAUGGCGAAGGCAGCUCUCUGGGACGGUACUGACGCUGAGACGCGAAAGCGUGGGGAGCGAACAGG
rnacentral:rRNA from 1 species